rnacentral:misc_RNA from 1 species
GAUGAAGAACGUAGUGAAAUGCGAUAAGUAAUGUGAAUUGCAGAAUUCAGUGAAUCAUCGAAUCUUUGAACGCACAUUGCGCCCUCUGGUAUUCCGGGGGGCAUGCCUGUUCGAGCGUCAUUUCACCACUCAAGCCUCGCUUGGUAUUGGGCAACGCGGUCCGCCGCGUGCCUCAAAUCGUCCGGCUGGGUCUUCUGUCCCCUAAGCGUUGUGGAAACUAUUCGCUAAAGGGUGUUCGGGAGGCUACGCCGUAAAACAACCCCAUUUCUAAGGUUGACCUCGGAUCAGGUAGGGAUACCCGCUGAACUUAAGCAUAUCAAUAAGCGGAGGA